UACAGAGGGUGCGAGCGUUAAUCGGAAUUACUGGGCGUAAAGCGUGCGUAGACGGCUAUCUAAGUCGGGUGUGAAAGCCCCGGGCUCAACCUGGGAAUUGCAUUCGAGACUGAAUAGCUAGGGUACGGUAGAGGGAAGCGGAAUUUCCGGUGUAGCGGUGAAAUGCGUAGAUAUCGGAAGGAACACCGGUGGCGAAAGCGGCGCGCUGGACCCCUUCUGACGCUGAGGCGCGAAAGCCAGGGGAGCAAACGGG
rnacentral:rRNA from 1 species